AACGUAGGAGACAAACGUUUAUCCGGAGUUACUGGGCGUAAAGGGCGUGCAGGUGGUCUGUUAAGUCUGGCGUGAAAGCUCCUGGCUAAACCGGGAGAGGUCGUUGGAUACUGGCGGACUAGAGGACGGUAGAGGCGUGUGGAAUUCCGGGUGUAGUGGUGAAAUGCGUAGAGAUCCGGAGGAACACCAGUGGCGAAGGCGACACGCUGGGCCGUACCUGACACUGAUACGCGACAGCAUGGGGAGCGAACGGG
rnacentral:rRNA from 1 species